GCCUGAUCCAGCCAUACCGCGUGGGUGAAGAAGGCCUUCGGGUUGUAAAGCCCUUUUGUUGGGAAAGAAAUCCUGCCGAUUAAUACUCAGUAGGGAUGACGGUACCCAAAGAAUAAGCACCGGCUAACUUCGUGCCAGCAGCCGCGGUAAUACGAAGGGUGCAAGCGUUACUCGGAAUUACUGGGCGUAAAGCGUGCGUAGGUGGUUGUUUAAGUCUGCUGUGAAAGCCCUGGGCUCAACCUGGGAAUUGCAGUGGAUACUGGGCGACUAGAGUGUGGUAGAGGAUAAUGGAAUUUCCGGUGUAGCAGUGAAAUGCGUAGAGAUCGGAAGGAACAUCUGUGGCGAAGGCGACUAUCUGGGCCAACACUGACACUGAGGCACGAAAGCGUGGGGAGCAAACAGGAUUAGAUACCCUGGUAGUCCACGCCCUAAACGAUGCGAACUGGAUGUUGGGCACAACUUGGUGCCCAGUAUCGAAGCUAACGCGUUAAGUUCGCCGCCUGGGGAGUACGGUCGCAAGACUGAAACUCAAAGGAAUUGACGGGGGCCCGCACAAGCGGUGGAGUAUGUGGUUUAAUUCGAUGCAACGCGAAGAACCUUACCUGGUCUUGACAUCCACGGAACUUUCCAGAGAU
rnacentral:rRNA from 1 species